GACGAACGCUGGCGGCGUGCCUAACACAUGCAAGUCGAACGAGAGACUUCGGUCUCUAGCGGCGGACGGGUGAGUAACACGUGGGUAACCUGCCUCAUAGAGGGGGAUACCCUCCCGAAAGGGAGAUUAAUUCCGCAUAAGAAGUAGAAGUCGCAUGACUUUAGCUUUAAAGGAGUAAUCCGGUAUGAGAUGGACCCGCGGCGCAUUAGCUAGUUGGUGAGGUAACGGCUCACCAAGGCGACGAUGCGUAGCCGGCCUGAGAGGGCGAACGGCCACACUGGAACUGAGAGACGGUCCAGACUCCUACGGGAGGCAGCAGUGGGGAACAUUGCACAAUGGGGGAAACCCUGAUGCAGCAACGCCGCGUGAAGGACGAAGGCCUUCGGGUUGUAAACUUCUGUUAAUGGGGACGAUAAUGAC
rnacentral:rRNA from 1 species